UUCUUUCUCUUCCUUUCUUUCUUUCCUUCUUGCUUUCUUUCUUCUUUCUUUCUUUCUUGUUUGAGAUAGAGUAUCCUGUGCAGUGGGACGAUCUCCAUUCAGUACAAUCUCCACCUCCUGGGUGCAAGCAAUUCUCCUGCCUCAGCCUCCCUAGUAGCUGGGAUUACAGGCACCCAUCACCACAUCCAGCCUCUAUGCCAAAGCCCGACUCCAAGAAUGAGCAUACAAUCCAAGAUGCGGACUACACGGAAAACACUCUGAUACCUGCCACCUGAGCUCCAGGGAAAUGUCAUAGCAAACAAGGGAAGGAUAAAUAGCAUAUAUUUUAUGAUUCUACAUAUAUAUAUUUUUAAUGACCAGAUUCUCCAUAAUUAACACAUGCUUUCUUUCCUUCUUUUUUCUUUGAAACAGGGUCUUACUGUGUCACCCAGGCUGGAGUGCAAUGGCACGAUCAAGGCUCACUGCAGCCUUGACCUCUCAGACCCAAGAGAUCCUCCUGCCUCAGCCCCCGGUAGCUGAGAACAUGGCACAUGCCACCACUCCUGGCUAAAUUUUUGUAUUUUUCGUAGAGAUGGAGUUUUGCCCUGUUGCCCAGGCUGGUCUCAAACUCCUGAGUUCAACUAAUCCCCCCACCUCGGAAUCCCAAAGUGCUGGGAUUACAGGCGUCAGACACCACGCCUGGCUGACACAUAUGUUUUAAUGCCUGCCUACAACAGGCUAGGGUUUACAAGUCAAACCAAAAAUCCAUGUGUGAGCAGCACAUGGUGAAGUGUACCUAUGGCCCCAAAGAAGCCCUUGGCCUUGGGAACAUGUCUUGCUCAUUUCUGAAUGGUAUUUCAUGUACCUGGGAGUAGGUCCCAGAAGAAAAUGCUCCACCCACAACUGGGUGGCUUCCUUAAAACCUUGCGAAACCGGCUUCAAAGAACUAAAAGAAUAAUUUAGGUAGAAAAGUCAUUGGCUUGAACUUCAUCCACCAAAACUGCUUUGUGUCUUCUUAGCCGGAGAAUCCAGAGAAGUGUCAUUUUUCCUACUGUUGUGGCCUUUGCAUUGUUUGAAACAAGAUGCACUCAUUAUUUGCAACACAUCUCUUUGGCCCUCAAAGGAUUGGAUGGUGCCCAGCCACAUUAGACAGCGUCUUCCUCUGUCACUCAGCCUGGAGUGCAGUAGCAUGAUGAGAGCUCACUGCAGCUUCGACCCUGGCUCAAGUGAUCCUCCUACCACAGCUUCCUGAGUAGCUGGAACCACAGGUAUGUGCCACCACACUCAAAUUUUUGUAGUUUUGCUCUGUAGAAGCGGGGUCUCACUAUGUUCCCCAGGCUGGUUAUGAACUCCUGGCCUCAAGUCAUCCACCGUGGCCUCCUGAAGUGUUGGG
rnacentral:lncRNA from 13 species